rnacentral:rRNA from 1 species
GACGACGCUGGCGGCGUGCUUAACACAUGCAAGUCGAACGGAGGUUAUUUUGAAACUUAGUGAUAAAUAACCUUAGUGGCGGACGGGUGAGUAACGCGUGGAUAACCUGCCUUUAUGACCGGGACAACACCGGGAAACUGGUGCUAAUACCGGAUACGCUCUUGGGAGCACAUGCUAUUGAGAGGAAAGGAGCAAUCCGCAUAAAGAUGGGUCCGCGUCCCAUUAGCUAGUUGGAGGUGUAAGAGACCACCAAGGCGACGAUGGGUAGCCGGCCUGAGAGGGUGGACGGCCACACUGGAACUGAGACACGGUCCAGACUCCUACGGGAGGCAGCAGUGGGGAAUCUUCCGCAAUGGGCGAAAGCCUGACGGAGCAACGCCGCGUGAGUGAAGAAGGCCUUCGGGUUGUAAAGCUCUGUCUUCAGGGAAGAAAGAAAUGACGGUACCUGAGGAGGAAGCCCCGGCUAACUACGUG